UCUCAAAGAAUCUCAUUUUAAGUAAAUCCUGCUCAAUGAGUACUCCCACUUCAAUAGCCGCAAUCAACUUGUGCUAAGGUAGCAUAAUCACUUGCUUUCUAAAUAAAAGAUAGAAUGAAUGGUUAAACGAUAAAAAACUAUUUCAUACUUUAAAAUAAACUUAACCUUGGGGUAAAAACCCCCUUAUUAAAAAAUAAGACGAUAAGACCCUAACAAACUUAGCAAUUUAAUUGGGGCAAUAAUAUAACAAUAUUUUAUUAAAUUAACACCUUUAACUUAUAUAUUUAAACAAUAAUUAGUUACUGUAGGGAUAACAGCGCAAUUUCUUUUAAGAGCUCCUAUCUAAAAAGAAUUUUACGACCUCGAUGUUGAAUUAAUUUACCUUUAAUUUAGACGCAAAAGUCUUAUAAGUUAGUCUGUUCGACUAAUAAAAAAUU
rnacentral:rRNA from 1 species